rnacentral:tRNA from 1 species
UCUUUUUUUGAAGUGUUUCACGUUACCUUUUCAAGAUAAAAAUAGUCUUUGACUCGUUUUUAAAGC